AAAGUCGUAACAAGGUUUCCGUAGGUGAACCUGCGGAAGGAUCAUUCACAAUGAGUGUUUAAUGGCACUUCAAAUCCAUUACCCACCUUGUGUGCAUUGUCGGGAGGACUUGCCCAAUAUCUCUCUCGUCAGAGGGGGAAGAAGGGGGGGUUCUCUUUUUACAUUUACUCUGUUCUUCAGUAUCAGUCUACUUUAUUAGAGUAUAAAACUCGAAUACAACUUUCAACAACGGAUCUCUUGGCUCUC
rnacentral:misc_RNA from 1 species